UAGACAGAGAGCAGUCUCGAUAAUGCAAGUCACACACGAGGUUUAUUUCCAGCUAGCUGGGGACCAAGUAUCUGCCCAGCGCAGCAGGUUUCAACAAGUCCCCAGAGCACUCCCAGCC